rnacentral:lncRNA from 1 species
GCCUUAGAGGCGUAUGCUGUAUAUUAGAGCGUAUAAUAUACGACUGCUAGGUAAUGUAAUACGUAUAAUAACUUAAUACGCAGCGUGGCUCCGGAAGAUGUUAGCUAUUACUGUGGAGAGAAAAACCCGCGUAAUAGAGUGAGAAAAAACGUAAAAUUCUGUAAAGUCGUUCCUUACAGUGCUUUUCCUAUCACCUCCUUCCGUAAAAGAAAUUCGAGAUACAAAAGAGACGUAUCAGUCUUUACCAGUGAAAUAAUUUAUUUGGCAGUUACCUCAAAAUAGCGGGGAUUGGAAUUUUCCGUAUUGAAAAGUUAAAAAAAAAAAAAAAAAGCGGGGGUGGGGAGAAACGGAGAACGAGGAAUGAGAGCUAGCUGGAGAUGAACCACAUGAG